rnacentral:rRNA from 1 species
UACGGGGGGGGCAAGCGUUGUUCGGAAUUACUGGGCGUAAAGGGCUCGUAGGUGGCCAACUAAGUCAGACGUGAAAUCCCUCGGCUUAACCGGGGAACUGCCUCUGAUACUGGAUGGCUUGAGUUUGGGAGAGGGAUGCGGAAUUCCAGGUGUAGCGGUGAAAUGCGUAGAUAUCUGGAGGAACACCGGUGGCGAAGGCGGCAUCCUGGACCAAUACUGACGCUGAGGAGCGAAAGCCAGGGGAGCAAACGGG